UCCGUAGGCGGUGCGGCAAGUCGGAAGUGAAAUCUCAGGGCUUAACCCUGAGGCUGCUUCCGAAACUGCCGUGCUCGAGUGCGAGAGAGGCGAGUGGAAUUGCAGGUGUAGCGGUGAAAUGCGUAGAUAUCUGCAGGAACAUCCGAGGCGAAAGCGGCUCGCUGGAUCGCAACUGACGCUGAGGGACGAAAGCUAGGGGAGCAAACAGGAUUAGAUACCCUGGUAGUCCUAGCCCUAAACGAUCAGGACUGGGCGUGGGCCUCGUACGGGGCUCGUGCCGCAGCUAACGCGUUAAGUCCUGCGCCUGGGGAGUACGGUUGCAAGGCUGAA
rnacentral:rRNA from 1 species